rnacentral:tRNA from 1 species
UGUUUUUACUUGGCCUUCCACCAAGACCUGUAACUCGAAAAACUACUGUUGUUUCAACUAUAAAAAC